rnacentral:misc_RNA from 1 species
CGCACAUUGCGCCCGCCAGUAUUCUGGCGGGCAUGCCUGUUCGAGCGUCAUUUCAACCCUCGACCUCCUGGGACUUGUUUCCAGGCGGUCGGUGUUGGGGCUCGGGUGCCACUAGAUGGCGUCCGUCCCCUAAAGAUAGUGGCGGUCACGCUGCAGCUUCCUCUGCGUAGUAAACUACCUCGCAGUCUGGAGAGUGGCGCGGCCACGCCGUGAAACCCCCUACUUCUUAAGGUUGACCUCGGAUCAGGUAGGAAUACCCGCUGAACUUAA